CUAGUACUCCCUCCGUCCGGAAAUACUUGUCAAAGAAAUAGAUGUAUCUAGAUGUAUUUUAGUUCUAGAUACACCCACUUCUAUCCAUUUCUGCGACAAGUAAUUCCGGACUGAAGGAGUACUAU
rfam:Triticum aestivum genome assembly, contig: Triticum_aestivum_CS42_TGACv1_scaffold_513198_6BS